rnacentral:rRNA from 1 species
AGAGUUUGAUCCUGGCUCAGAUUGAACGCUGGCGGCAGGCCUAACACAUGCAAGUCGAGCGGUAGCACAGAGAGCUUGCUCUCGGGUGACGAGCGGCGGACGGGUGAGUAAUGUCUGGGAAACUGCCUGAUGGAGGGGGAUAACUACUGGAAACGGUAGCUAAUACCGCAUAAUGUCGCAAGACCAAAGUGGGGGACCUUCGGGCCUCAUGCCAUCAGAUGUGCCCAGAUGGGAUUAGCUAGUAGGUGGGGUAACGGCUCACCUAGGCGACGAUCCCUAGCUGGUCUGAGAGGAUGACCAGCCACACUGGAACUGAGACACGGUCCAGACUCCUACGGGAGGCAGCAGUGGGGAAUAUUGCACAAUGGGCGCAAGCCUGAUGCAGCCAUGCCGCGUGUGUGAAGAAGGCCUUCGGGUUGUAAAGCACUUUCAGCGGGGAGGAAGGCGUUAAGGUUAAUAACCUUGGCGAUUGACGUUACCCGCAGAAGAAGCACCGGCUAACUCCGUGCCAGCAGCCGCGGUAAUACGGAGGGUGCAAGCGUUAAUCGGAAU